rnacentral:tRNA from 1 species
GGGCUUAUAGUUUAAUUGGUUGAAACGUACCGAAUUUACCGGCCGGAAUCAGCAAGAAAGCCGCUGCUAUUAAGGAGUGAAUAAAUAAUAUCGCUAGCGCGCUCUCUCUUUGCUGCUUACGGUGAUAUUGUAGGUUCGAGCCCUACUAAGCCUA